GGCCAUGGAAAGAACCCGGGACGCCACAGGCAAAGUACCGCCUUUCAGUUGGGAGGGAUGCAAAUAGGGUAUUGAAAUCAUUGGCCACAUGAUCAUUAAAGAAGACUUGAAAUUCGGGCAUUUCAGAUUUGAGACCUUGCGCCAGGUACUUCCUUUCUACAGCUUCCACUAUAUGUUGCAUUGCUAUGAAGGUAUUUGGCCCAACUGAACAUCCCAAAUCUGCAAGACGAAACGGGUUUGAAGAGAAGCACUUUACAUCAAGCUUCUUAGCAAUUGCCUCUUCAAUCGUAAUCCUCGACGCAUUUGUAGCUUGUCUCUACAAAACGUAUAGUCCACCAUGUGUCUGUCAUUACUUAAUGUCAGGGGUGAUAUUCCCAUAAAACAAGCAAUUUUUAAGAGGCGUAUGUUCAACCAUAAUUGAAGUGGAAUAAGGGACAAAGAAGAAACCCAGGCAUGUAUGCACUGAAGGGGUAGUUGUGUUUGUUCCUCAAACUUGAAUCAGGUCAUCCAUGAAAUAUGUGAGGUAGAGAAAAUAUAUGAAGGGAUAACAAGAAGUAUAAAAACAGUCAAAAUACCUGUAAAUGGGAGUUGUUGAGGUAGCUGUGAGGUCCAUCCCCUCCGUUCAUCGGAAAAGAUUGUUGCAUAGUGGCUGUGUUGUUGUUGCUCAUCUCUCACUGCCUAAGUGAGCCAUUUACUUCUGAUGGACUCUCCAUAAAGACAAUGGUGAGGGAGGGUCUCAUGGACUUUUUUCCCUCAUUGACAAUGGCCUCUGACUAGGUCUAGCCGGCCAUCUGUAUUGGCUCAUUAUGCCAUUGAUGUUUUGUCCUUCAUACCAUUUUUUAAUCUUCUUUAAAACUUUUAAUUAUUUUUUUAUAAAUCUUAUUGACUAGCCAACAAAUUUAGUUUUGCAAGCACUACUUUGACUGAGAAUUGUGACGUGUGAUCCACCCAUCAUUCAUUCAGAGCACAUGGAACAUUAUCCUUUUCACAUUUUGAUUAAAUUAUAGUUGUAGAGGCAUGAGGUUACAUCUUAACACCUCAUCUAAGGGCAUCCCAACAAUAUCAGUUAGGGUAGAAGAGUCCAUUUGGAAUCAAAGAAGGUAGAGUCAUUCCUGACAUAUCAACUCAUUAUUCAUUGAAGAAGGUAGAGUCAUUCAUGACGUAUCACCUCAUUAUUUAUUGAAGAAGUUUUGCUUCUUCAACUAAAUAUUUAUAAAUCUAGUAGGAACAAAAAGUCAAAAGAGGGGCAAAGUAAUGACUUCACUCGGAGAUAAUAUGCAACAAUACAAAAUCAAAUCUAAAGUUACAAAAGCAACAUAUAAAUGAUCAAUCUUGAACCAUUUGUCUAUCUCUUCUAUUCCGGAUUCCUUUAAUUUAUGAGCCUCGACAUCCUUUUGGAUUUGAAUAGAAAACAAAAACAAAGACACAAAGUUAGAAGGGAAAAAAAAUAUAUAUUGUCAAGUUAUUUAUAAGUGAAAUGAAUUUAAAGUCGGAUAUAAAAUAAUUUAUUGAUUUAAUUUUUUUUUCCUUAAUUUUCUUCACUCAUGCUUUUUUUUCUUUGUUUUUGUUCCUUCGCAUUUUCCUUCAAAUUUUCUCUCAUCCUAACAUAACCUAAAACAUUUAUGUAUGCAGAACCGAAUAAUAAGAGAUGACUGAACCCCUACACGACUCUUAAACCCUAAGACCCCAAUUACCAGACUCAACAACCAACAACCAUACUUCAAUCUUGAUCCUAGUUCAUAAAAGCAGUAUAUAAUGAAACAACCCAUUCCCAUGUGAGAGGAAAAAUAUCAUUCAUGUGGGAUCCAUCAUCCAUGCUGUGUUUAUGGCAAACUGAUCCACAUCAACAAGGAUAAAAAGUGUAUUAGAAGGUCUCUACAUCUGUCAUCGCUGGAUUAACACAAAUUCAGUCAUGGGUUGCAUUUGGGUUAAGGAAUUUGCCAUCCUAUGUGUUUUCUCCCUCCAACAUGUCCCCCCAUCCUUGCAAGCCUGACGCAUUGGAAAAGGAGUUCAGUUCUUUCUUUUAAGUGAAGUAUGGCUAUAUGUUCAUAGGAACAUACCCCUACACCUUAGCACUUUACGACUGUGUUUAGUAUCACGCUAUUUCCUGCAAGUUGUGUUUUUGGAUUUCAUGAAUAUGUGGAGGGCAUUUCCAAAGCCCAGAGGACAACUUAUCAUCUAUUUCCACAGCCACAAGUUUUUCUUCUGAUUAUCCGUGAGCAUAUCCAUAACCAUUCACAUAUGUUAACCAAGACAAUUAUUGUAAAUAUAUAGAGUUGAUACCCAAAUCUGGGUCAUUAUUUAUGAUCCACUGGAUCUUCACGACAAUAUAUAUUGAUAUCCUGAAACUAGUCUCAGAGAAGGGACUAAGAAAACUAGCAGGAAAAAUAGUUUAUGAUCAUAUUCAAACAGUAUCAUUUACGCCUCAGAACAACAAACAAUAGAGUUCCUUCUUUGUUGCCUGAUUCCAGCUGGUGGGAGGACUCCAUAAUUUGCUUGGAAAGCCUAUCAAACAGUUGAUCAAUAAUCCCACUUCCAAAAUGUUGGGUAAAAAUUCCCUCCAGGCCAGCUCUAAGGCACAUUGCACAUUCCUUUCCAUUGAUCGGGCCAACAAGUUUUGAUCUAGAGUCCACUAACUCCAUUCUCUCAAUGGUUAAACACUCAUUUCUGUCCACCAUCUCUGUCAUUUGCUCGGGAGAGGCUACAUGAAUAGGCAAGUUGAAGGAAUCCACUUGAGCUUCACUAAUUAAUCCCUGCAUUCAACAUUGGCAAUGUUGGCAUCAUCUCUUGAAUUUGAUUCGGGCUUGUCUGUAAAACAACAUAAAACUACCAGACAAGCAAAAAUUCAACAAUUAUAAUUAUAGUUUGUUUUUUUUCCCCUCUCUGCCCUAAUACUGGACUUCAUGUAUUAGGUUCCAUGAGGGUAUAUUGGUCAUUUUACAUGAUUAGCCUAGUGUUUCCUACGACCCAACCUGAAUUGGGCCAUGGGAUGAGCAUAUGCCUAGGGUAAGUGUGCCAGGCUCCCUCAGCCCCAACAAAAAAUUUUCCUGUUUUAUUUCUAAAAUAUACUAAUAUUUCCCAAGUUCCACAUUAAUUUUCUAUGCGGAAUGUUACUUAGCUAUGAUCAGAGCCCUCUCAACUAUUAGAUAUUAAAGUCACUUUUCUAAUUCCAAAAUAGAAUUUCAUCCGCCUUACCUCCUUGGCCAUAUCCAUGAGGCUUGCUCCCAAAAGAUCGAACAUAACACAAUAUGGGUUUUGAGAAGCAGGGAUCCCAUUUGGGAGAGCUGGAAUGAGAAACACUAUCAUCCCUCCAACCACAAGUUCCUUAGCUCUGGCACUCAGAAAGAUCUCCAUGUCACGCUCAAAUUGAGCCGCAUAAGCAUGGCUUACUUCUUCUGGGCCACUUGUGUAGUGAAUCCUUCCCCUGUUCCAUGCAGGGGAGUUUUUGUCCAACAACUCUUCAGGGACCUUUGAGAGCCAGUGGAGUGCAUGAGAGGAAAACAUGAAAUGGAUAGAUGACUCCGGGAAUAACCGGCCAUGGAAAGAACCCGGGACGCCACAGGCAAAGUACCGCCUCUCAGUUGGGAGGGAUGCAAAUAGGGUAUUGAAAUCAUUACCCACAUGAUCAUUAAAGAAGACUUGAAAUUCGGGCAUCUCAGAUUUGAGACCUUGUGCCAGGUACUUCCUUUCUACAGCUUCCACUAUAUGUUGCAUUGCUAUGAAGGUAUUUGGCCCAACUGAACAUCCCAAAUCUGCAAGACGAAACGGGUUUGAAGAGAAGCACAUUACAUCAAGCUUCUUAGCAAUUGCCUCUUCAAUCAUAGUUCUCGACACAUUAAUAUCUUGUCUCUACAAAACAAUAGUCCACCAUUCGCUUUGUUAUUAAUGUCAGGGAUGAUAUUCCCUAAACCAAGCAAUUUUUAAUCACGUAAUAUAAUCCAGGGUGAGCAAAACGGAGAUCCAUGAAAUCUGUAAGAUAGAGAAAAU
rnacentral:lncRNA from 1 species